GCAGCUGCUCCCGCCCUGGCCCCCACUCUUCAGCCCCAGGACACAAGCAGGACUCCAACACCGCCCUUCCUUCUCUCCAGGGUGACGCUGGCGCAGGCAUGGAUGCUCCCAAAGAGCAUGCCUGAGGUGUGUUGCCAGUGCCUGAGGUGUGUCGCCAGUGUUUUCGUGUUGAUGGAUGCAGAUGGGGCAGGGGGCACAUUUGAGUGGCCGCCCCACAGAGGGACAGCCCAGGCGAAGACACACGUGACAUCUUCCACAGCCUACGCUGGCAGAUGUCUCACCAGAGGACCACAGCAGCUUCUAGGAAAGGAUCUUCUAGGUGCGACGGGAUCCAGAGAGGCAGCAUUCCUCGGAUUUUCCUGUGUUCCUUAGGGUGACAGAUUGUUUUCCACCGGUGGAAGCGUGUCCCUGUGAACCACCUGGGGACAUCCGGGAUGGUCUCCAGCUGCUUUGAGAAGAGCGCAUCUCGGACUCUCCCGGGCCAUCCCCAGGGCGGUCACUAGAGGGCACCAGACUCCGCCCGUCGGGGAGGAAGCCUGGGGCUAAGGGGGGGCCCUGAAGGGCCGGGCCCUUGAAGGCUGUCCAUUCCCCUAAACCUGAUUUAAUUUAAUUCUUUGGGAAUACGCUCUUAUUUUGGAUAUAUUAUUCUUAUUAGUAGAUUCUUCUUAUAAUUAUAUUCAUGAAGAAUCUAUUCCUGAAUAUAAAGAAUUCUCACAAAUACACUUUUCUUACCCCCAUCCCUACCUCACCCCACCCAACCUCCCCUCUCUGCUCUUUAGUCUUCAGAAAAAAAGGAACUGGAGCAGAAGUCAAUUAUACAUUCCUUGGCGUUCUGGUGUAAAAAAAUGAGAAUUGUUCCAGUUAAUUUAAAUGGGGUCCGCAGACUGGCCCCCUCCCAGAUGGGAACAGAGAUGAGGGGCUGCAGGUGGCCAGUCAGUGCGCACCAAAUCCUGAGCACCCUUGUGCCUACAGUCAUCACCCCAUCUGUGCCUCUGUCUCACCCAGGAGGGCACAGCGUGAUGAGGGAAGGCUCGGCACCUGGACACCCAAAGGACAAGGGUGUGCAGCCUGGAACCCUGGACGUGCACGGUAGCUCCAGGUCCAGUACCUGAGCUUGCAGGGUGGGCAGGAGGUUCACCAGCUGCAAGAAGGGGCGAGAGUCAGCAGAACAGGCAAUGAUGUCGGUCAAAGGAGCCGCAAAGAGAAGGAGCCCUGAGUGAGGCCCAGGCGGGGCCUGAGUGGGUCCCACAGUGCCCUAAGCAAGGCUCUGGCAGAUGGAGGCAGGUGAGGGAGGGCAGGAGCCCCAGGGCCUAUUAACCACAAUGUGUUAGGACUCUUCUGAGAAACAUAGGAUACAAUGUACUUUCAUCUU
rnacentral:lncRNA from 12 species